UGCUUUUUGGAUAUAUAAAAAGUAUUACCUGCCCAAUGAUAAUUUAAAUGGCCGCGGUAUACUGACUGUGCAAAGGUAGCAUAAUCAUUUGUUUUGUAAAUUAAAGCUUGUAUGAAUGGUAUAAUGAAAAUAUAACUGUCUUUUAUUUAUUUAUAGAAUUUGCUUUUUCAGUGCAGAAGCUGAAAGAUUUUAGAAAGACGAGAAGACCCUAAUGAGUUUUAUAUAAUAUUAUUAUUUAUAUAAUAAUUUAUAUUUUAUUGGGGCAAUAAAAGAAUAAAUUUUCUUUUAGAAAAAUAAAAUGAUAAUUGUUGAACCAUUAUUAAUGAUUAUAAGUUUAAAUUACCAUAGGGAUAACAGCAUAAUCUUUUUUGAGAGUACAUAUCGACAAAAGGGAUUGUGACCUCGAUGUUGAAUUAAGAGAAUUAUAUAAUGAAGAAGUUAUAUGAAUAA
rnacentral:rRNA from 1 species